UUCUGUGAUCUUUAAAUUUAGAGCUUCAUCUUUAUAUUAAUCAUACUGCAGGCUUUCACUGCCAAGACUGACAUCCAUCAAGUCAAAACAUCUCUACUACAGAAACAGAUAACAAGCUUCCCAACAGACCUACAAUUUGGCUACAUACUGGUCAUGGCAGGUGAAUAAAAGCCCAGGUUGAUGGCUAAGAGUAAUGCCAGAUGUUAUCAUUUUCUUUGGAAAUAUCCUGCCUAUCUUCCUGAAUUCUAUCAUCAAAACUGUUCUGAAUUACUUCUCUAAAAGUCUUAUAGCUACCAGCUCCACCCCUAACAUGAAAACAGGGAGAGGCCUUCGUAGUCUUCAACUCACCAUUCGAACUGAAUACAGAAUAUGGCCAUAACAAUGGGCUAUGACACCCACAGGCACCACCAGGCAGCCAAGAAAUAAGAAGAGCACAAAGGAGGAGUCGUUGGCAUUCUUGGAUUUCCAGUCCACGGUGCAGCCUAAUCCGUGUAUGUCCAGGAUGUACCUGUUCCAGCCAAGGAGAGGUGCUCCAGCCCACGCCAGGAAUGAUUUAUUCACUCAACAAGCACCAACUGAUUACCUAUCAUGUGCCAGACACCAUGCCCAUCUUGGAGGCUCCAUGAUGACUAAGAGAUAUAACUCUGGAUAUUGGAAAGGUCAGUCAUUCUCACAACAAUACAGAAACACAUGGAAACCAGCCUGAGGACUGUUUAUUGCACUAGUCCAGCAAGAUAUGAUGGGGCCUCAACAAGGGUAACGUUAAAGGAAUGAACAAUGAAUUCUGGAUGCUAGAGUCAUUUAACAACUAAU